AUUAAGAAUAAAUACUGCAACUGAAUUAAAAGAAUUUCUUCAAAUCAUCUACAUACGAUAAAAAAUCAUAAAUUCAAAAACAUUACCAGCAGAUCUAGACAGUGAGGAACAUGGCAAAUAACACAGUUUUGUCUUUUUAAAAGAAACUGAACAUCAGUUACAAAUUAUAUCUGAUCCUGAAUUCUACUUAACCCUCUCCAUAUCUUCCCACAGCUUUAUUGAACCGCAAAAGGCUUCAUAAUCCCCUCCAGUAGAGGCUAUACAGCUGCUUCAGUAUAUGCAGUUCAAGAAAGCUGUGGAAAAACAUGAAGAGGGCCAUUUUGAAGCCACAAGAUCGAUCAUUCGUGGCAGCCCUAAAUAGGGUUUAUUCUGUUAGAGAGAUAGAGAGAGCAGAAAAAAU
rnacentral:lncRNA from 1 species